UUAGGUGGUUAUAGCAGUGAGGUUCCACCUCUUCCCAUUCCGAACAGAGAAGUUAAGCUCACUAACGCCGAUGGUACUGCGGU
rnacentral:rRNA from 1 species